ACUAUUUUGGCAGAUUUUUGAAUGUUAUAAAUUUAGAAUUUAUAUAUGUAAUAUAUAUUACAAUUAGUA
rnacentral:tRNA from 1 species